rnacentral:rRNA from 1 species
GUGGAGCAUGUGGCUUAAUUUGACUCAACGCGGGAAAUCUUACCAGGUCCGAACACGCUGAGGAUUGACAGGUUUUUAUAAGACUAUAUUAUUUAUUUUUUUAAAAUAAAUUUUAUAGCAAUUCUUAUAUCAAAUAUGCUAGUCCUUUCAUGAUUGCGUGAUAGGUGGUGCAUGGCCGUUCUUAGUUCGUGGAGUGAUCUGUCUGCUUAAUUGCGUUUCACAUAAACGGGGAUAUAUUGAAUAUUUUGUUUGCACACAAAGUUGUUGCUUUACUUUUUUUUAAAAGUAUUGCACCUUUGUUGUUGCGCGGUAUUCUUUAACAUAUCCUCAGAAGGCAACGAACGUGACCGCAACAACUUGUUGCAUACUCUUAUUGUAUGGUAACUAGUUGGACCGCUGGCUCUUUUCUAAACAGAGGAAGGUUGCGGCAAUAACAGGUCUGUGAUGCCCUCAGAUGUUCUGGGCUGCACACGUGCUACAAUGAUUAUUGCAGUAAGCAUCUAAUUAGGUUUUUUUAUAAACCGCAGGAAUAAAUUAAAUAUUUAUUUUCGAAUUUAUAUUUAAUCCUGUUUAACCAACUUUGAAAGUAAGUUGGUAAUCAAUUCGAAGUAAUGAUUUCCUUUUGCACAUUUUUAAUAUUUCAUACUGUUAUUAUAUAAUUUUAUUUUCGAAUAAUUUUAUAUUAUUAACAAUGAAAUAUGUGCUCCAUUAUUUCAUGGUGGGGACUGACCAUUGUUAAUUGUUGGUCACGUCUCAACUAGGAAUGCCUUGUACUGGUCUUGGUUCAACAAACCACCAGGAAUAUGUCCCUGCCCUUUGUACACACCGCCCGUCGCUCUUACCGAUGGACUAUUCUGUGAGUAUGCAGGACGGGGUCUCUAUCAUUUAUGGUUGAGACCUAUAAGAAUGUACGCGAACAG